rnacentral:rRNA from 1 species
AGAGUUUGAUCGAUGGCUACGAGGACGAACGGCUGGCGGCGCGCUUUAUACAUGCAAGUCGAACGAGAAGCCAGAGCUUGCUCUGGUGGAAAGUGGCGAACGGGUGAGUAACACGUGAGAAACCUGCCCCAAAGACUGGGAUAAGCCGAGGAAACUUGGUCUAAUACCGGAUACCUUCUUUUAUCACAUGUUAAAAAGAGAAAUGCUCCGGCGCUUUGGGAUGGUCUCGCGACCUAUCAGCUUGUUGGUGAGGUAAAAGCUCACCAAGGCAUCGACGGGUAGCUGGUCUGAGAGGAUGUCCAGCCACAUUGGGACUGAGAUACGGCCCAAACUCCUACGGGAGGCAGCAGUAGGGAAUCUUGCACAAUGAGGGAAACCUUGAUGCAGCGACGCCGCGUGCGGGACGAAGGCCCUAGGGUUGUAAACCGCUUUCAGUAGGGACGAAAGUGACGGUACCUACAGAAGAAGCCCCGGCCAACUAUGUG